CAAAAAAAAAUAAAAAAAUACAAAAAAAAAAAAAAAGCACUAACAUGACGAAAUCUAUUUUUUUUGUUCAUCCAAAUUGAUUGUAUCUCAUGUUUUGCUCCUCUUUCACGGGUUCUUUGCCUUUUCUUGAUUUCGCUUUUGAUUACUUCUUCACAUUCCUUUAAUACCCAUUUUACAUUAAAAAAUAUAUUCUCUUUUGGCAUUCUUAUCGGUUUUAGUUUCUGGGUUUUGUGUAUUGUGGAGGGUUGCAUCCUAGGAAGGUGCAUGCUGUUGAUUUUCUGAAAUCUGCAUAUUUUUUGGGGGUUCGUCUCUGCAGGAAACCACCGUAGAGUUCAUCUCCGGUGUGGGAAAUGCCGAGUUCGUGUAGUAUCAGAGCUCUCUGGAUCCUCACCAAUCAAGACACCGUUGUUUUCUCCCGGAGAUUUCCGGUGGUGGAGAAGCGGUGGCGGGCGGCAUGUGAGAGAGAUGAGAGUUUUAUGGAGGAUGAUUUGAAAUAUAAUGUGGUGCCUUCUCUUCCUACUGAUUCAGAUAUUGCUGCUGCUUUCGUUGACCGCAAGAAAAGGGAGGGAUCUGCUCGUGGAUUUGGCAUUAGGAUAAACCAGUCAGUUGAAGGUUCAGAUUCCUGGGUUGAUGAUCCGAUUACGCGUCACAUAAUAAGUUUGUGCACUAAAAAUGAAGAGGAAAAGAAUCGUGUUUUGUGGCCACUUGUUUUGCACAUAAAGGGGCACUACUGUAUCCUUGUACUGCCUCUAGUGGAACCAGAUCAUCUAAAGACAUAUACAAGGAUGUGUAAAGGAUCUGACUGUGGAAAUGCUGUUGGAGCCGAUGAAAGUUUAUCCCCCCUCCUGCUUAAUCUUCCAUCAAUCACAGGGGCAUUUAUGGUGGGUCACAUGAUAGGAGACAUCAUAACAGGCGAUGUGACAGAACCUGAAAUAGUCAUAAGUGCAUCUCCAUCAGUGGGUGGGUUGUUGGAUUCUCUCACUGGAAGUAUUGGUAUUUCAGCAAGAGCAAAACCUGUGGCUGCUCCAGUUGCAGGAUCAACAGCUUCUGGAGCUGCAACAAGCGGAGCAAUGGCAUCUGAUGCUCCAAAGAUUGGUUUGAGGUCUCUGGAUAGAGAUGCGAUUCGUUCUUUCAUAAGCAGUGCAAUGCCUUUUGGCACCCCUCUGGAUCUUAACUACACCAACAUUUCAGCAGUUAAGAUAAAUGGAUUUUCUUCAGCAGAUAUCCCUCCUGCAGAUCAGAAGCAGCCAGCAUGGAAACCUUAUCUGUAUAGAGGGAAGCAGAGAAUUCUGUUUACAAUUCACGAGACUGUCCAUGCUGCCAUGUAUGAUCGCGAUGAAAUUCCAGAUAGCAAAAAAAUUUCAGGUCAAGUUAACUGUCGAGCGGAAUUAGAAGGGUUGCCUGAUGUGAUGUUCCCACUAAUAGGUUUGGACACUGCUCGUGUUGAGCUGUUAUCCUUCCACCCCUGUGCUCAAGUUCCAGAGCAUGGUAAUGAUAAGCAAUCACUUAUGUUCUCACCACCAUUAGGAAAUUUUGUACUGAUGCGUUAUCAGGCAUUUUGUUGUAUGGGACCUCCAAUUAAGGGUUUUUAUCAGCUUUCAAUGGUUUCAGAAAAUGAAGGUGCAUUUUUGUUUAAGUUACGGCUAAUGGAAGGUUAUAGAUCUCCUCUGUCAAUGGAUUUCUGCACUGUGACAAUGCCUUUCCCUAGGAGAAGGGUACUUUCUUUUGAUGGGACACCUUCUAUUGGAACAGUUUCAGUUGCUGAACACUUGGUUGAAUGGAAAAUUAUAACGACUGGUCGAGGAGUUUCAGGAAAGAGUGUUGAGGCAACAUUUCCAGGAACUGUGAAGUUUGCUCCAUGGCAACCUCAAAGAUUGCCUACCUCAGGGGCAGUACCUGGGAAUAUGGAAGAUGAAGAGAGUGAUGCUGAAACAGAGUCAACAAGUAAUAUGGCAAAUGUGGAAGAUCUCUUAAUGGAAAAAAUGAAUAAGGAUCUUCAAGCAGUUGAUUUGGAGGAGCCAUUUUGCUGGCAAGCAUAUGAUUACGCUAAAGUAUCUUUCAAGAUCAUGGGAGGAUCAUUGUCAGGAAUGUCUAUUGAUCCAAAAUCUGUAAGCAUUUUCCCUGCUGUUAAAGCACCCGUGGAAUUUUCAACUCAGGUGACUUCUGGGGAUUAUAUUUUGUGGAACACAUUAGGAAAAUGUCCGGUUGCUGCCACACCCAAAUCAUAGUGUUGCAAAAUAUAUUGUUGGCGUAUCUGAUUCGGAGCAAUAGCAGAUGGUAACUUGUUGGAUGGUUGCUGAGUUGAGAGGUGGGCGUCAAAGAGGCUGUAUGCAAAAGAGAUGUAUUGUGGGAUCGUGUACUGUGACGAGUUCCUGUUGCAGUUACAUUGUACAACUGGGAAGUGGAUGACUCUUGUUUCUUGGCAUUUGGUAUAUGUGGGACAAGAUUACUUGAGACGUGUGCAGCUACGUCGUGGAUACUCAGAUCGUACGGGGCCCACAAGUAAUCGAUGGUACAGGGCUUUCUGGCAUCCAGUCUCAACCAUGGCUUACCCUUGCCACUCCAAUGCAAUAGGCUUAUGGGUCCUGGGUGAAGUCCCCUACAUUUACCUUCAAGGUUGUCACCACCUAAACCAUGUUGGUUCCACCUAUGAUCAACUGCCUCAAUGUUUCCUGCAAACACAAGCAAAAUUGGAGGCAACGACCCCAAAUGGAUACGAGCCCGGAUCGUCUUGAUCACUCCUCCUGCAUUUUCGUUCGAGGCCUUUAUUGGAGUCUUUUGAGGUAGCUGCUUGUCAUUCUGGCAGACGUCGCAUGGUCUUGAAUAUGUCUUAUUCUAUUCCAGCAUUGUAGACAUUUAGACUUGUAUUUUUUUUUGAAUUAAUUGUAUUAAUUAGUGGCUUGUACACGUGACACCAGGUUCUAGGGAGUGUCUCAAACAUAUUAUGAUUUACGCAAAGCUUAUGUUAUGUUUAGAUCUUA